AAACCGUUCCCGAGGAUCUAUUGGAGGGCAAGUCUGGUGCCAGCAGCCGCGGUAAUUCCAGCUCCAAUAGCGUAUAUUAAAGUUGUUGUGGUUAAAAAGCUCGUAGUUGGAUUUCGGCGGGUAGUGGUCGGUUUGAAUUGCUUCAACACUGGCUUUUUUACCCGUGUGUUUUGCCAGAAUUUAACGGGUGAUCUUCGCCGAUUGUCCGUUAGAACUGGCAGGUUUACUUUGAAAAAAUUAGAGUGCUCAAAGCAAGCUUGAUUGCUUGAAUAUUCGUGCAUGGAAUAAUAGAAUAGGAAGUCGUUUCUAUUUUGUUGGUUUUCGGAAAUCGACUUAAUGAUUAAUAGGGAUAGUCGGGGGCAUUUGUAUUCAAACGACAGUGGUGAAAUUCUUGGACCGUUUGAAGACAAACUACUGCGAAAGCAUUUGCCAAGAAUGUUUUCAUUAAUCAAGAACGAAAGUUAGAGGUUCGAAGGCGAUUAGAUACCGCCCUAGUUCUAACCAUAAACGAUGCCAGCUAGCGAUCUGCCGGUGCUUGAUUUUCUGGCCCGGUAGGCAGCUUCCGGGAAACCAAAGCUUGUGGGUUCCAGGGGAAGUAUGGUUGCAAAGCUGAAACUUAAAGGAAUUGACGGAAGGGCACCACCAGGAGUGGAGCCUGUGGCUUAAUUUGACACAACACGGGAAAUCUCACCAGGCCCGGACACCAGAAGGAUUGACAGAUUGAUAGCUCUUCCUUGAUUUGGUGGGUGGUGGUGCAUGGCCGUUCUUAGUUGGUGGAGUGAUUUGUCUGGUUAAUUCCGAUAACGAACGAGACUCUGUCCUGUUAAAUAGAUCCAACCUAGUUGUAGGGUUGGAAUGUCUUCUUAGAGGGACUGGUGAUUAUUAGUCACACGAGAUUGAGCAAUAACAGGUCUGUGAUGCCCUUAGAUGUUCUGGGCCGCACACGCGCUACACUGAAGUGAUCAGCUAGUUUUUCCCUCUCCGAGAGGAGCGGGUAAACUGUUGAACCCACUUCGUGGUAGGGAUCGGAGCUUGCAAUUAUUCUCCGUGAACCAGGAAUUCCCAGUAGGUGCAAGUCAUAAGCUUGCAUCGAUUACGUCCCUGCCCUUUGUACACACCGCCCGUCGCUACUACCGAUUGAGUGAUUUAGUGAGGACCUCGGAUUGCUUGCCUGGCGGUUAACGCUGCCUAGCUGGCGAAAAGACGUCCAAACUGUAGCACUUAGAGGAAGUAAAAGUC
rnacentral:rRNA from 1 species